rfam:[Clostridium] clariflavum DSM 19732 chromosome, complete genome.
GCAAUAAAGAAGAAGUUAUCCACUUCUCACCUUACGGGUUUGGUCUGGUAAGGUUAAUAGUUGAAGUUUAGGCUUUUUAACUUUGCUUAUUGGAGUAGGGAGUUAAGUGGAUCAUUUCUUUGAUCCACUUUUUUCGUUUUCU